UGGAUCCAGACUUUGAUUAUGGCUCAGAUUGAACGCUGGCGGCAUGCCUUACACAUGCAAGUCGAACGGCAGCAUGGAGAGCUUGCUCUCUGAUGGCGAGUGGCGAACGGGUGAGUAAUACAUCGGAACGUGUCCGUUUGUGGGGGACAACCGUCCGAAAGGAUGGCUAAUACCGCAUAAGACCUGAGGGUGAAAGCCGGGGACCGCAAGGCCCGGCGCAGACGGAGCGGCCGAUGAUUGAUUAGCUAGUUGGGGAGGUAAAGGCUCACCAAGGCGACGAUCAAUAGCUGGUCUGAGAGGACGACCAGCCACACUGGAACUGAGACACGGUCCAGACUCCUACGGGAGGCAGCAGUGGGGAAUUUUGGACAAUGGGGGCAACCCUGAUCCAGCCAUGCCGCGUGCGGGAAGAAGGCCUUCGGGUUGUAAACCGCUUUUGUCAGGGACGAAAAGCUCCGGAGUAAUAUGCCGGAGUGCUGACGGUACCUGAAGAAUAAGCACCGGCUGACUACGUGCCAGCAGCCGCGGUAAUACGUAGGGUGCAAGCGUUAAUCGGAAUUACUGGGCGUAAAGCGUGCGCAGGCGGUUGGGUAAGACAGAUGUGAAAUCCCCGGGCUUAACCUGGGAACUGCAUUUGUGACUGUCCGACUGGAGUACGUCAGAGGGGGGUGGAAUUCCACGUGUAGCAGUGAAAUGCGUAGAUAUGUGGAAGAACACCGAUGGCGAAGGCAGCCCCCUGGGACGCAACUGACGCUCAUGCACGAAAGCGUGGGGAGCAAACAGGAUUAGAUACCCUGGUAGUCCACGCCCUAAACGAUGUCUGCUGGUUGUUGGGAAUUUAAUUCUCAGUAACGAAGCCAACGCGUGAAGCAGACCGCCUGGGGAGUACGGUCGCAAGAUUACAACUCAAAUGAAUUGACGGA
rnacentral:rRNA from 1 species